AGAGUUUGAUCCUGGCUCAGGAUGAACGCUGGCGGUAUGCCUUAUACAUGCAAGUCGUACGAGAGUUUUUAACUCUAGUGGCGGACGGGUGAGUAACACGUAAGAAUUUGCCUUUAGGAGGGGGACAACAACUGGAAACGGUUGCUAAUACCCCAUAUGCUUUCGAGUGAAAUGGAUUUCCGCCUAAAGAGAAGCUUGCGGCUGAUUAGCUUGUUGGUAGGGUAAUGGCCUACCAAGGCGACGAUCAGUAUCUGGUUUGAGAGGACGAUCAGACACACUGGAACUGAGACACGGUCCAGACUCCUACGGGAGGCAGCAGUAGGGAAUUUUCCGCAAUGGGCGAAAGCCUGACGGAGCAAUACCGCGUGAGGGAUGACUGCCUAUGGGUUGUAAACCUCUUUUUUCAGGGAGGAAUAAAUGACGUGUACCUGAGGAAUAAGCAUCGGCUAACUCCGUGCCAGCAGCCGCGGUAAGACGGAGGAUGCAAGUGUUAUCCGGAAUCACUGGGCGUAAAGCGUCUGUAGGUGGCUCGACAAGUCAACUGUUAAAUCUUGAAGCUCAACUUCGAAAUCGCAGUCGAAACUAUCGAACUAGAGUAUAGUAGAGGUAAAGGGAAUUUCCAGUGGAGCGGUGAAAUGCGUAGAGAUUGGAAAGAACACCGAUGGCGAAGGCACUUUACUGGGCUAUUACUGACACUCAGGGACGAAAGCUAGGGUAGCAAAUGGGAUUAGAUACCCCAGUAGUCCUAGCCGUAAACAAUGGAUACUAGGUGUUGAACAGAUCGACCUGUGCAGUACCAAAGCUAACGCGUUAAGUAUCCCGCCUGGGAAGUAUGCACGCAAGUGUGAAACUCAA
rnacentral:rRNA from 1 species